AUAGACACAAGGUACUCUGUUCAGUUUCUUGGGUUCCUGUUGCUCUGCUUCUAGGAGCUAGAUGUGACGUCCAGAUGACUCCAUCACCCAUGUCUGCCUCUCUGGGAGACACAAUCAUUCUCAAUUGCCAGGGAAGUCAGGACAUUAGCAGUUAUUUAAGCUGGUACCAGCAGAAACCAGGGAAAACUCCUUAGCCCUUGAUCUAUGGUACAACUAACUGGGAAGAUGGAUCAAGGUUCAGUGGCAGUGGAUCAGGUACAGAUUUCACAUUCAAGAUAAGGAGAAUGCAGCAUGGGGAUUUACACGUGUAUUAC
rnacentral:lncRNA from 1 species